rnacentral:rRNA from 1 species
UAGAGUUUGAUCCUGGCUCAGGAUGAACGCUAGCUACAGGCUUAACACAUGCAAGUCGAGGGGCAUCAGGAAGAAAGCUUGCUUUCUUUGCUGGCGACCGGCGCACGGGUGAGUAACACGUAUCCAACCUGCCCUUUACUCGGGGAUAGCCUUUCGAAAGAAAGAUUAAUACCCGAUGGCAUAAUGAUUCCGCAUGGUUUCAUUAUUAAAGGAUUCCGGUAAAGGAUGGGGAUGCGUUCCAUUAGGUUGUUGGUGAGGUAACGGCUCACCAAGCCUUCGAUGGAUAGGGGUUCUGAGAGGAAGGUCCCCCACAUUGGAACUGAGACACGGUCCAAACUCCUACGGGAGGCAGCAGUGAGGAAUAUUGGUCAAUGGGCGCUAGCCUGAACCAGCCAAGUAGCGUGAAGGAUGAAGGCUCUAUGGGUCGUAAACUUCUUUUAUAUAAGAAUAAAGUGCAGUAUGUAUACUGUUUUGUAUGUAUUAUAUGAAUAAGGAUCGGCUAACUCCGUGCCAGCAGCCGCGGUAAUACGGAGGAUCCGAGCGUUAUCCGGAUUUAUUGGGUUUAAAGGGAGCGUAGGUGGACUGGUAAGUCAGUUGUGAAAGUUUGCGGCUCAACCGUAAAAUUGCAGUUGAUACUGUCAGUCUUGAGUACAGUAGAGGUGGGCGGAAUUUCGUGGUGUAGCGGUGAAAUGCUUAGAUAUCACGAAGAACUCCGAUUGCGAAGGCAGCUCACUGGACUGCAACUGACACUGAUGCUCGAAAGUGUGGGUAUCAAACAGGAUUAGAUACCCUGGUAGUCCACACAGUAAACGAUGAAUACUCGCUGUUUGCGAUAUACAGUAAGCGGCCAAGCGAAAGCAUUAAGUAUUCCACCUGGGGAGUACGCCGGCAACGGUGAAACUCAAAGGAAUUGACGGGGGCCCGCACAAGCGGAGGAACAUGUGGUUUAAUUCGAUGAUACGCGAGGAACCUUACCCGGGCUUAAAUUGCAGUGGAAUGAUGUGGAAACAUGUCAGUGAGCAAUCACCGCUGUGAAGGUGCUGCAUGGUUGUCGUCAGCUCGUGCCGUGAGGUGUCGGCUUAAGUGCCAUAACGAGCGCAACCCUUAUCUUCAGUUACUAACAGGUCAUGCUGAGGACUCUGGAGAGACUGCCGUCGUAAGAUGUGAGGAAGGUGGGGAUGACGUCAAAUCAGCACGGCCCUUACGUCCGGGGCUACACACGUGUUACAAUGGGGGGUACAGAAGGCAGCUAGCGGGUGACCGUAUGCUAAUCCCAAAAGCCUCUCUCAGUUCGGAUCGAAGUCUGCAACCCGACUUCGUGAAGCUGGAUUCGCUAGUAAUCGCGCAUCAGCCACGGCGCGGUGAAUACGUUCCCGGGCCUUGUACACACCGCCCGUCAAGCCAUGGGAGCCGGGGGUACCUGAAGUACGUAACCGCAAGGAUCGUCCUAGGGUAAAACUGGUGACUGGGGCUAAGUCGUAACAAGGUA